rnacentral:lncRNA from 1 species
UCACUUCCUUAGCUGCAUAUAUAUAUGCAGAAAACCAAACCUUUCUAAUUCUUCAAUCCACUUAUCAACUGGCAAAAGUUUGUUCUUAACCAAUCAUUUUAAAUCCUUACCAUUUUGUCUGACGUUUCUUUACCACGUGGAGAUAAGCGUAAUUGACUUCAAAUUUUCUUUUUCUUUUUAUUUUUUCCUUCUUGGAUUCAAUAC